rnacentral:rRNA from 1 species
UGGGGAAUAUUGGACAAUGGGGGCAACCCUGAUCCAGCAAUGCCGCGUGUGUGAAGAAGGUUUUCGGAUUGUAAAGCACUUUCGACGGGGACGAUGAUGACGGUACCCGUAGAAGAAGCCCCGGCUAACUUCGUGCCAGCAGCCGCGGUAAUACGAAGGGGGCUAGCGUUGCUCGGAAUGACUGGGCGUAAAGGGCGUGUAGGCGGUUUGUACAGUCAGAUGUGAAAUCCCCGGGCUUAACCUGGGAGCUGCAUUUGAUACGUGCAGACUAGAGUGUGAGAGAGGGUUGUGGAAUUCCCAGUGUAGAGGUGAAAUUCGUAGAUAUUGGGAAGAACACCGGUGGCGAAGGCGGCAACCUGGCUCAUAACUGACGCUGAGGCGCGAAAGCGUGGGGAGCAAACAGGAUUAGAUACCCUGGUA